CUGCGCUCACCUCCUGCCGGUCACUCCGGCUUUGCGCCCGCCGGGCCGGUGCGCCCUAAGGCGGCCACUUGUGCCGCCUUAUGGAUGCGCCGGCGGAGCGCACCCUCCAUCCCUCCGGCGACCUAUGGCCGCGUGCCCACAGAGGGGGCUCGGCGUGCCACCUGUGGCACGCGUGCCAUAGGUUCGCCAUCACUGCCUUAGAUGCUAAGGUUUUUAUCCUGCUCAAUCUAGUUGCCAGUGCUUCCAGGUGUUGCUUGUGUAAAGAUACACAAGUAAGCAUCACUGCAGUUACACACCCCCAGACACCUUACCAAUGUUUCUGAUGCCAUCCUGUGUAGCUCCGCCCCUUCUAUGGCAUCAUUAGCUCUGACACUCUCUCCAUAGUGUUCAAUGCAGGUGGGAUUAGCCCUGGAAAGAAAGCAUUUUUACCCCAAAAAGAGUUUUACUUUCCAGGGAUAAAACAACAGGGGCACUGCACCCAGACCACUUCAAUGAGAUCUGAGUGUCUAUUGUGUCUCUUU